GAUGAACGCUGGCGGCGUGCCUAAUACAUGCAAGUCGAGCGAACAGACGAGGAGCUUGCUCCUCUGACGUUAGCGGCGGACGGGUGAGUAACACGUGGAUAACCUACCUAUAAGACUGGGAUAACUUCGGGAAACCGGAGCUAAUACCGGAUAAUAUAUUGAACCGCAUGGUUCAAUAGUGAAAGACGGUUUUGCUGUCACUUAUAGAUGGAUCCGCGCCGCAUUAGCUAGUUGGUAAGGUAACGGCUUACCAAGGCGACGAUGCGUAGCCGACCUGAGAGGGUGAUCGGCCACAUGGGAACUGAGACACGGUCCAGACUCCUACGGGAGGCAGCAGUAGGGAAUCUUCCGCAAUGGGCGAAAGCCUGACGGAGCAACGCCGCGUGAGUGAUGAAGGUCUUCGGAUCGUAAAACUCUGUUAUUAGGGAAGAACAAAUGUGUAAGUAACUAUGCACGUCUUGACGGUACCUAAUCAGAAAGCCACGGCUAACUACGUG
rnacentral:rRNA from 1 species